CAGAGGUGAAAGUAACUAGUCGAGCAGUCCUCCAUCACGUCUUCAUCUCCAGAACUACCAGUAAAACACUGAUCCCUGGGCAAAGAGGAGGAAGACCAGGGGACUGAGAGCAAACCGAGAGAACCAGAGGAAGAACGGAGAGAACGAAAAGAACAGAGAAAACCCACGAACAGAACACAGGAGGAGGGACGAAUUGAGGACGAACUGGGGAAGAAAAGGCAGGGGGAAAACAAGCAAACGCAGAGAGGACGAACGAACGAAAAAAACCCAGGAAAAACAGAGACGACGGAACACAGAGGAGACACAGAUAAUACACAGAGAACACUGGACCAAAGACCACAAACAAAAAAA